UUACAUUUUCACAGAUUGUAAAUGCAUUUCUUUGAAUGAUAACAGAUUUUGAAUGUUUGUUUUUUUUCUUGUUGUAAUUUUCAGGGCAUUCCCAGACAACACAAUUCAAAUAACUGCGGAGUGUUUGUGUUGAUGUAUGCACUCUACGUGGUAUUGGAGGGGCAUUUUGAUUUCAAUGAAUAUGACAUGCCAACAAUUAGAAGGUGGUGGUGUAUGCUUCUGCUGAGUAAUUAUCCAUUGAAGUAAG